rnacentral:rRNA from 1 species
GACGAACGCUGGCGGCGUGCCUAAUACAUGCAAGUCGAGCGAAUGACGAGAAGCUUGCUUCUCUGAUUUAGCGGCGGACGGGUGAGUAACACGUGGGCAACCUGCCCUACAGAUCGGGAUAACUCAGGGAAACCUGGGCUAAUACCGGAUAAUCCUUCGAAUCACAUGUUUUGAAGUUGAAAGGCGCUUCGGCGUCACUGUAGGAUGGGCCGGCGGUGCAUUAGCUAGUUGGUGGGGUAACGGCCUACCAAGGCAACGAUGCAUAGCCGACCUCGAGGGGAGACGGGCCAUAUGGGAACAGAGCACGGGCCCAACCGCAGACGGGAGGAGCCUGUAGGAAAGUUUCAACAAUGGACGAAAGUCGGAUGGGCCACGCCCGCGUGAUUGAUAAAGUUUUUCGGACCGAAAACCUCUGUUGAAAGGAAAGAACAAGAACGUUAGAAAAUGAACGUACCUUGACGGACCCUUAUUAGAAAGCCACGGCUAACUACGUGCCACCAGCCGCCGUAA